rnacentral:rRNA from 1 species
UACGUAGGUGGCAAGCGUUGUUCGGAAUUACUGGGCGUAAAGGGCUCGUAGGCGGCCAACUAAGUCGGAUGUGAAAUCCCCAGGCUUAACCUGGGAACUGCAUCCGAUACUGGAUGGCUUGAAUCCGGGAGAGGGAUGCAGAAUUCCAGGUGUAGCGGUGAAAUGCGUAGAUAUCUGGAGGAAUACCGGUGGCGAAGGCGGCAUCCUGGACCGGCAUUGACGCUGAUGAGCGAAAGCUAGGGGAGCAAACGGG